GAUGAACGCUGGCGGCGUGCCUAAUACAUGCAAGUCGAGCGAACAGACGAGGAGCUUGCUCCUCUGACGUUAGCGGCGGACGGGUGAGUAACACGUGGAUAACCUACCUAUAAGACUGGGAUAACUUCGGGAAACCGGAGCUAAUACCGGAUAAUAUAUUGAACCGCAUGGUUCAAUAGUGAAAGACGGUUUUGCUGUCACUUAUAGAUGGAUCCGCGCCGCAUUAGCUAGUUGGUAAGGUAACGGCUUACCAAGGCGACGAUGCGUAGCCGACCAGAGAGGGUGAACGGCCACACCAGAACUGAGACAGGGUCCAGACUACUACGGGAGGCAGCAGUAGGGAAUCUUCCGCAAUGGGCGAAAGCCUGACGGAGCAACGCCGCGUGAGUGAUGAAGGUCUUCGGAUCGUAAAACUCUGUUAUUAGGGAAGAACAAAUGUGUAAGUAACUAUGCACGUCUUGACGGUACCUAAUCAGAAAGCCACGGCUAACUACGUG
rnacentral:rRNA from 1 species